CAGGUACGACAAAAAUAAAACACGGUAGCGAGUGGGUGAGAGGGAAAAGGAGCAGCAUCCGCAGCACGCAGCGGUGCCCCAAUCCCGCCGCCGCCCCAAUCCCACCACCGGCGGCCUCCUCCUCCCCUAACGCUGCCGCUCUAGCCCCUCACCUUCCUCGGCCGAUUUAGCGCCGUUGCCGCCCCUCAGCACGCAACCUCUCCUCUCCUUCGCGGCUCCGCCUCUUCCUCCGGCGGCAUCCAACCCAAUCGUCAUCUCCUACCCCCCUCUCUUAUUCCCCUGUGCCUCGACGAGGUGGGCCAAGCCGGCGCACGCAGCAAAGGGCGGCUGCGGAUGCAGCUCGGACGCGGGCGCGUGGAGGUGGAGGCGGAGCUGCGGCGGCUGGUGGUGCACGGGAAUCCCGCCGACCGCGUCCCUCCCCAAACUGCAGCGAUGAUGGAGGGAGCCGCCACCGGCCAGCUACCGACCGACGGGCUCGCCGGGUCGCCGUUCCUCGGGGCCACCACCUCGCCCCGUGCCGGAUCGCGCAUCGGCUUGGAGGCCCCUCUGGGCUGCCGCCGGUGCAGGAGGCGUCCGCGGCCAUGCGGGCGGGGGACCGAGCGACGGGGCCCGUGGUGUGUUCCGGUCGAGGGCUUGCUCGAUCUGGCACGCGAUCUGAGCCCCCGUCGAUGGAUUUCUCGCAGCUUGGCUGCGUUUUGUUUUGGAUUCAGUACGACCCACAUCUCUCUCUCUCUCUCUCACAUGUUGCGGCCGAAAUCACUGUUUUGACUUAUUUGGAAAAGUCCAGCACAAAAUGAACCAUGUUGGAAACAUAUCGGGGGCGAUGAUGAUAAAACAUGGCUGACAUAAACUUGUCUUUGAUUAUUCGAGGACCUGUGGGCAUAAAAAACCCACUCCCCCCUCUUUUGGAACCUUUUCAUUCUCACUGAAUAUUGGGCUCUGUCUUGGAUGGUCACUCUUUGAGUGAUAACUAGAGGAGCUCGACUUCAGUGGUGGGGAUUGAUCUGGUGCAAGAAGACGGUGGAGCCGUGGAGCUAGGUUGUAUGAUCUAUCAAAGGCGAAUCUGAGCCCUCCCACAUCUCAAUGCAACUAAUAUUGUGGCCUCUACACAUUUAUUUAUCUCCUUUUUAUGUUUAAAAGUGAUGAAUUGUUGUGGUUGUGGCAUCUGCUAUCUCAUUAAGAGCAGCUACGCACAUAUCACCUCUCGUGGUGUUUGGUUUGCCUUCUCAUGAUUUUGUUGUCCAUGGUGGGAACCAGUUUGGUGCAUUCAGACUUUUUCUUUUUCUGUUUUUACUUUUCCUUGAAUGGCUGUGAUCAUUCAGCUGUCCCUUGGAUAGUUUAUUUUAGGUUAUUUUAUUGGGUUUGGGUCAGUUUGCUUGUUUCAAUUGCUGUUUUACUUUUUAUAAUAUCUUUCUUCUACUAUACUAUUUAUCUACUUAUCAGUUUGCACUUUUGGUUACUCCCCACUUCUUAACUGGUUUCAACUUAUGGGUCAUAUAGGGAAAGUUCAGAUGUCAAGAUAACAGUUUCCUUCCUGUCAUGUUCAUGAAUGGCUAUGAUGAUAUAGCUUUCCUGCGUCGAUCUAACAUCUGUUUGGAUUUUGUAGAGGCAGAAUUCGUUUGUGCGUCGAUCUAACAUCUGCGCCUUUUAAUAUUCUGGAUUGAUGCGCUUUGUAGUGGCAGAAUUCGUGUUUAAUUUAUUGCAGGAGAUGAAAUUGAGAGGCUGAUGUAAAUUCGUUUGUGUGUAGAUUUUGUCAGUUCUAGGAUUGGAUGUUUAUGCAGUCUCUGUGUCUCUCCUGGAGGUUAGCCGAUUGAUGGAUUUGACUGCUGAUCCCUUUGUGUUGGCUGAUGGUGUUGAGAUAGAAAUAAGGAUUAAACAUGACCCUGAUGCUGAGGCAAUAUUUCAAUAUCAUUAGAGGGCCUGUGUUCUUCCAAAGAUGAUUUAGAAUCUCAAAAACGUUUCUUACGUAGUCAGGAAUUUGGGUUCAUGGUUGAAGUAACAAAUACAUAUGCAGGUUCUUGGUUCUGUCGUUUACAAUUCCUUUUUUAGGUAUAUUUACAACCUUUGUUGUUCCAUAUAGUUUGUUUCUUAAUAUCCUAAGCACAUAUUAUCGAAUAGACUCACUUUCCUGUUUUUGUGAUAAAAUGAAAAGAAUAAUGUACAUGGUAAGGACAUGAUAAAUCUUCUUCUUUCAAUUUGGUUAUGAUUUGAGAAUGCUCACAUAUAUUUCUGUGCUGCAUCACCCCAUGGUCUGUGAUAGUGUCCAACUAGGGAUUUGAAUGUCAGGACCUAGCUAAUACUAUGAUGUUAUCAGGUUAAUAAAUAAUACAGUACUGUUUAGCUAUCAGGUUCUAUGAGUAUGGCCGGGGUGAAUCCUUCAACUUUGCUCAUAGGCACUGAAAGAAUAAAUAAUUGAUCUUUCAUUUCUUCAUGAAAAAUAUGUCAUUUCGUUUUUAAAGAAAAGUUAUAUGAAAAGUUGUAGUAGAACACUGCUAGCUGUAAUUCCCCAUGUGUCUUGGCAUUCUAGGUGGAGUGGGAACCUUUCAGAGGAAGUAUCAAGCGGCACGAGCACCUAUGGUAGAAUGAUGUGUUGACAGUGUACCUAAUCCACCUGUAUUGACAAUGCAUAUAAUUUUUAAAAUCAAGAUUAUAUUAUCAGCUGCAAUCUCUGUUCCCUUUUAAACUCAAGACUUUUAAACAAGAUCAUAUACAUUGUGAACCAAAGAUAGUUGAGUAUACAGUUUAAUUGUGCAAUUUGUUCUAUUAGAAAAAUUACUAUUGUGUUGAAUCCUUGCUGUGGUGUGCUAAAUUGUUUCCUUAUGUUUGUACCUGCCAGUUCUAAGCACCUAUUCUUUUCUUCUUAUUUUGUAUCUAUACAUAACAAUUCUAUUUUUCUUACCUCUGCAAUUAUGCGACCUGUAGCUUAUUCACAUGGAUCUUAAGGUACUGAACUUCCAAAUUAGAACCUGGCCUAAAUUUGAGAUUUCCCGAAUGUAUACUUAUGUUUUUCUUUCAUUCUUUGGAGGUAAUCCGUUGGUUGCUUAAUGCUCCUUAAUGCAUGAGUAAAUUUCUUUUUCUUUAUUUCUAAAGUCAGUUUUAUUUUCUUCGUGAAGGUUUCCCGACGCAAAUAUAUAGUGAAAGCGGUUUGAGAAAAGAAGCAAAUCGUUCGAGCCAACCUAUUUAUAUGGUGUGGAGAAUAUAAGGUUCUUGGCUUAUUGAUAUCAUCUGGUCAUUUUUAUAGGUGCCUGACUACAUAAUGAACUUUCUAGCUGUGUUGAUGACAACAAGAAGAAAAGCUUCUUUGACCAGGUUUGCUGACUUAAUUCAAGCUAUCCUGGUGGACUGACAUCAUACAUCCAGAAUGCCAAAAGGCUCUUGGUAGAUUGCAAGGCAGGAUAAAAUCCAUACGAUGGUUCCACACCUUCACUGCAGGAUAUGUAACAGCCUUCAGAUUACAUGAUCUGAAAUAGCUCGGUGAACUUUCUUCCCACAUCAUGUCAGAAUUCUAUAUGGAGUCAUCUUGGCACAUUAUUUAAUAGUAAUAAAGGCAAAAGAGAAACUUCCAUGUCUCGGUACAUUUUAAUUUCAGAGAACUCGGCAUUCAGACCUCGUUGGCGCUGGGCUAGAUGGGCUUGCUGGUAUUUUAUAGUCUGGUCAUAAGCAGAUUUGUUAUCUUCAAGUAAAGCUAAAUGUGAGCCACACCAACUUCCUUUAGUUCUUGAGAAUUUUGUUGCUGUCCUUCGGAUUAACAGUCUGCCACAGUGCUCAUGGCUCUUGCAUUCACUCAAGAAUCAGGUCAAGUGUGGUGAGUGUCGUGCUUCUGAAUAUGUCGUUCUACACUUGACAUUGCAGCGCCCAUGUAUUAGAAUUUGCAUUAUUGCCACAAAUGAUUCCAGUAACUAGAAUCCAUUUUAGGGAACAGAAGCUGACAGGUACAAGCUAACCACCCUUGCAUAACUCGUUAGGUAGCAAUGGUGAUAGAUAAAUUGGCUAGCACUUGCAAUUAGCAACUUGUUUGCCUGUCGUACUUGGCAAAAUCUGUACUUGGCAAUCUACUACUUUUUAUUUGAUGAUUGGUUCAGGAAAUAGUACCUAGCUUCAGUUAAGUUAACUAUCGAUUUGUUUCAGGGUCAAUCUCUAUUCUUAGCAAAUUCCCAUGUUAGAGAAAAUCUGUAGUAUAAAUUAAGUGACAUCAUGAAACAUUUUGAAUCAAGAUAACAAAGAAGAAUUACAAGUUUGAUAAAGCAUGAGGGAUCAUUCAUUCAUUUACUUCUGAUCCCUUUAAGACUGCUGCUUCUCUGUUGAUACAAGACUAUUAAUAUAUAUCAAACCCCUAAACUUGCUUUGGUUUUUGAAUGUGAUUUUUAACCAGCAACAUGGACCUGCCACUCAUCUGUACUGCCUGUCUUCUUGCUAAAAUAAGUUUAGUAAUACUGCUAUGCACAUGCCAUACCAACAGCGCCAAAAAGCAACAAGUAUGGUAGCCUAAUUAGUAGCGCACCUUACCGCCUUAGUUGCAUCCUGAUGCUUUACAUCCUCUAGAUGUUUUUCUGAUUUUUUUUGCAUCCUCUAGAUGAACUCUUUUUACUGAACCUUCUACCAUUGUUGGUAGCUGAUGUUUAGAAGUCCAAGCAGCUGAACAUUUUACAGAUUCAUAUAUACCCCCUGUAACGAAGAAGUGGGUGUUUCCAUGGAUGGAUCGGUUUUAAUCUAUGCAUAUAUAUCACGCUUGAGGUCAGUUGUGUUUUCUCAGGUUUACGUAGGAAUGACAACUGUUUUCAGAAGCAAAAAACUUGAAUUGGGAAUGGAACCCUUGAUGUAUUGAUGUUUGCUGAAGAAAGUUCUUGCAGCAAAGAAGAACAUGAAGCAGUCCAACCAACUGCUCCGAGAGGAACCAAGGCGACGUGCAAGUUGGCGUCUGUGAAGCUUUGUCGGAGCCAUUCCUGCUCUUCCAAAGCCACAAGGAGAGCCUAAAAGUUAGGGCAGAAGCGUGUCCGGCUGUCGUACGAGAAGAAGUGUGCACGCCUGAGGAGCCAGGGCGCCGAUGGUGCGGAGUCGUUCGCCAUCAAGAGGACCAAAGCUGCCAUCAGUGACCACCGGAUCAAGCUCAACAUCUCCCUCGCCUCCGUCAACGCCCUGUCCCAGAGGGUCGUCGUCGUCCACGAUGAGCCUGCAGCUCGCGGAGCUCAUCCAAAUGCGGGCAAAGACGUGGCGACUCAUCGGCGACGUGCACCGGGUGAUGUAGCGCAUAGCGGACGAGGCGAGCGUGCUCCUCUCGUUGUUGGCCACAUGGCUGGAGGGAGGCAUCAAGGGCUCGCUGCUACCGGGGCGGACACGCGCACAAUUUAUAUUGAUAUAUCUUAUUUUGCUAAACAGCAAGAUAUAUGCUCAUGAUGCUAUUAACCUGAUAGUGAAUUUCAGUUUCUUUCGCAUGAUACAUCAAUAAAUAUAUAGAGAUCCA